rnacentral:rRNA from 1 species
UACGGAGGAUCCAAGCGUUAUCCGGAUUUAUUGGGUUUGAAGGGUGCGCAGGCGGAAGAUUAAGUCGGCGGUGAAAUUUUGCAGCUCAACUGUAAAAGUGCCAUCGAUACUGGUUUUCUUGAGUGUGGAUGAAGUAGGCGGAAUUUGUGGUGUAGCGGUGAAAUGCAUAGAUAUCACGAGGAACUCCGAUUGCGCAGGCAGCUUACUAGGCCAUAACUGACGCUCAGGCACGAAAGCGUGGGGAUCAAACAGGAUUAGA